rnacentral:rRNA from 1 species
UACGUAGGGGGCAAGCGUUGUCCGGAUUUAUUGGGCGUAAAGCGCGCGUAGGCGGCAAGGUAUGUCGUGCGUGAAAUCUCCCGGCUUAACCGGGGAACUGCGUCCGAUACUGGAUGGCUUGGAUUUGGGAGAGGGAUGCGGAAUUCCAGGUGUAGCGGUGAAAUGCGUAGAUAUCUGGAGGAACACCGGUGGCGAAGGCGGCAUCCUGGACCAAUAUUGACGCUGAGGAGCGAAAGCCAGGGGAGCAAACGGG